rnacentral:rRNA from 1 species
UACGGAAGGUGCAAGCGUUAAUCGGAAUCACUGGGCGUAAAGCGCACGUAGGCUGCGUGGUAAGUCGGAUGUGAAAGCCCUCGGCCCAACCGGGGAACUGCAUUCGAAACUGCCAUGCUUGAGUCCUGGAGAGGGUGGCGGAAUUCCCGGUGUAGGAGUGAAAUCCGUAGAUAUCGGGAGGAACACCAGUGGCGAAGGCGGCCACCUGGACAGGUACUGACGCUGAGGUGCGAAGGUGUGGGUAGCAAACAGG